rnacentral:rRNA from 1 species
AACGCGAAGAACCUUACCAGCUCUUGACAUGCCUCACACGUGGUUUGGAGACAAACUACUUCGGUUCGGCCGGUGAGUGCACAGGUGCUGCAUGGCUGUCGUCAGCUCGUGUCGUGAGAUGUUGGGUUAAGUCCCGCAACGAGCGCAACCCUUAUCGCUAGUUGCCAUCAGGUUGGGCUGGGCACUUUAGCGAAACUGCCGGUGGUAAGCCGGAGGAAGGUGGGGAUGACGUCAAGUCCUCAUGGCCCUUAUGGGCUGGGCUACACACGUACUACAAUGGCGGUGACAGAGGGCAGCUACCCUGCAAAGGGAAGCUAAUCCCUAAAAGCCGUCUCAGUUCGGAUUGUCCUCUGCAACUCGAGGGCAUGAAGUCGGAAUCGCUAGUAAUCGCGGAUCAGCAUGCCGCGGUGAAUCCGUUCCCGGGCCUUGUACACACCGGCUAC